UACAGAGGUGGCAAGCGUUGUUCGGAAUUACUGGGCGUAAAGGGCGCGUAGGCGGUCCGAUAAGUCCUGUGUGAAAUCCCUCGGCUCAACUGAGGAACUGCACGGGAGACUGCCGGGCUUGAGUUCGGGAGAGGGAAGCGGAAUUCCGGGUGUAGCGGUGAAAUGCGUAGAUAUCGGGAGGAACACCUGUGGCGAAAGCGGCGCACUGGACCACAUCUGACGCUGAGGCGCGAAAGCUAGGGGAGCAAACAGG
rnacentral:rRNA from 1 species